ACAGCUAGUGCACAGGUUAAACAAUACUUAGAUCCACUUGGUUCCAAUUUAGGCUUUUUAUUCAAGGUUUUAAACCGAAGCUGCUCUCCACCAAUGAAAACUGGCUAAGCCGAGACAUUAGCCAAUCAGAAUGAGACUAAGGAGGGUCUUUGCAAAGCGGACACCUGGCAGUCUGAGGUUUGUCAGUAUUUAACUUUUGGAAGAAAGUCUCAAACUUGCCACGGACGGCAUGAAUGAAAGUAGUGGUGGGCAAAGGUUUUCUUUGGAUUUAUACGAACCAGCAAGUCAGAAAGUUGAGCGAAUUGAACAUCUGAGAACAACUUCCUUGGUAAAGACCGAGUCGGGUGGAGAGGGAGGGACAAGGGUAGUGGAGGUGGUUUGAAAACGGCAAGCAGAAGGACAGCGUCUUCAAACCCCAUCCCUUCCUCUCCACCUUCUCCUUCUCAACGCCCCCCGCUUCGCUCUCGCCGCAAAUCCAAGUCCCCCACGUCCCGCUCCAGUCACACGGCCCCCAAACAAGCCUUGGACGUGGACAAAAUUGGAGGCGCCCCCAAGCUCGAGGACUUCAGGAAAACCCGAGGAGCGUCCCGAGACCUACGGGGACCCCACUGUUCCGAGCGGGACAGGAAGUGGGAAGAUGUUGCCUUGGAGCUGCAGUGUCGUGGCAGCAGGAUGAGGUCGGCGGUGUACCAGACCUCAGAUCUUCCCUCCAUGGUGAAAGCCAAGAAACAGCUGGAGCAGGGGUACGGCCGAGGUCAGAUAGACCGCAGCAAACUGAAAGCAACUUUUGUUUAAGCAGCCUGACGUUGGUCUGUCUCUCAGGCUGUCUGUGACUCUGACGACACUGAUGGGCUGACUCAGUGACAGCUGACGUAUUGCCUGGAUUUAAAGCCGGGGAGCUCAGCAAAAACAACAACAACAACUGUGCAGCUGGUUUCAGGCUCCCCACUGAGAGCCUCUGUUAGCAGACGGCAGGAUGAGAUUAAUCCAAAACUUUGUCCCGGUUUCAUAUUUGAUCGCACUUUUUGCGUAAUGGUGGACAUUGAUCUUAACUAAAACACAAUGCUUAGCAACAUUUUAAAAACCUUGUUUAACAUUAAGCAGAUAUUGUUACCAUUUACCUAGGAUUCAAUCAUCUUUUUAAAGGAUACUUUCUUUCAGCUUGACACCAUAAAGAAUUUGCAGUUCGAUCCUAGAAAUUAAUGCUAAUUGGCACUUCUAAAAAGCUUUGACAUAGACAUUCUUUUGUAUCAAGUCAGUAUGUCCAUUGGUAAACUUAGACUGUCUAACACAAUCUUUUUAAAAAUAAAUGUCUAUUUAGGUAUAUGCAAUUAGCGUUAAGGCCAUCCUAUUUCCACCCUAAGGCCUGUUGAUCCCUAUGAGGAUUCACAGUUGAGCUGUAGCGUAUAGUAUAUGAUCACAUCUCUGCCAUAUUGUUUACAUUAUUAGUUGGUGUAGUUUGCAGUAUAGAUUCAUAAAGCAUCUUGUUCAUGUAGUCGACCAUCAAAACUGUUGGUCUUCUAAAUCAACCUUUUAAAAAA